GUCCCAACAAAAGCACUUGUCCAUAAUAGAGAAAUAAAACGUUCCUCCCAAUCAAACAUUUACAUGCAUUCUUAACAUUUUCAAACAGCCAAAAGAACAAAAAAUCUCCACCAAAGACUAUAUAUUUCUGAGUGCCAGGAACGCAGAUUUACAGUGAAAUAUAUCAAACAUAACAUAUAUAAGCCCCUUGUGGGGGGAAAGCAGAGCUCUGGCCACUAGUUUGAGCCCCUUCCCAUCGUACACCAAGAAAAUUAGUAAGGGGGCAAUCAUAUCAUGGAACUAGACGAGUAUUAAAAUUCGAUUAGGGAAAGCUCUUAACUGGCAUUAAGGGCCCAUACAUACAUCAUCUGCACUCUUACCUGGCUUUAUAUGCAUACAUAUAUCCUCUAAGUUUCCUCACUUCUUCAGAUGACACAUUUAGUAAAUACUCUACGUAAAUGCACACUCCAGCUCCAC
rnacentral:lncRNA from 1 species